AGUGUUUAUGAUUGGUACCGUCGAGCUUUUUUCAAUGCAAACACUACUGGGUUAGGCAAAGCAGAACAGGACACAACUGUACGAGCAGACGACACCACAGACGAUGGAUGUGAAAACAAUAUCAUCUGUAGGUCUUUUGCUUUGUCAUCUUCUUAUAGCCGGUGUUUGCCUUGAUUGUGCUUCUGAUGAUCUGUGUGCAUUGUGCCUAAAACCAGAUCCAUCGUGUCCACAAGUUUGUGUAUCGUGCUUAAAUUUAGCUGUUUCCAUUACAGCUUUUCUAGCAUCUGUUCCAUCAAGCUGCAGAAAAGAAUUCUCUGUGAAUAUCACCAGCUCCAAUUCAAACCCGAAGGAGGGUGACAGCGUCAAUUUAACGUGUGUCAAUAACCUUCCUGAUAAAGAUCUGUCGUUCAGAUGGAGCAAGGAUGGAGUAAAGAAAGGUGGAAACAACAGCAACCUUGUUCUCAAUAAUGUGCUUUCAUCUGCUACUGGCUCGUACAACUGCUCUGUGGACAGCGUGUGUGGCAGUUAUUCUGCCCAGUACUCUCUCACUGUGCCCAACAACAGCGUGAUCAUCCUGGUGGUCUGUGGAGUUGCAGCUUUGGUUCUGGUUCUGAUUAUGGGUCUGGCCAUGAAGUUCAAACUGAAAAGAGACAACGCUAAACACAGAGAGAGGAGGAAGCAGAGGGAACAGAUUGGGCAAAGCGGCGGCCAAGCGCCAUUCACAAUACGACAGACCUAAAUAAGAAGCAAUCACAUCUACAGUUACUUCGUAAUAACAGAGUUGCAUAAUCAGCUGUCAUAGUAUUUGCAAUAGGAAUAAAAUGUCAUUAAUCGCUGCAUUCUGGAGUAAUUGUGUGCUGAUCGGAUGGAGUCACAGUACAGGCUUAUGAAGCGGACUCCUCCACACCAGGGUGGAGCCGUUGUGUAACACAGCCUCAUAACUGCACUCGCUGGCUGACCAGCGAUCAGUUCAGGAAAAGGGCCUGGACAUGUUUUAAUCCAGACGGGGGGCAAAAGCGCUCCAACUAAUCCCGCUGAACGCUGCACAGAGCAGCCUUGUAGCAGCUGCCAUGUAACGGAUAUGUGGGAUGAUAAUGCUUCCCAUUGAACUCUGAGAGACGGAGAGACAUGGGAUCUGGCAGACCUUCAUGACACAGACAUGCCAAACAACACAAUGUAAAUCCUCUCAAGUUUCUGUGCUAAGAUUAGUGAGAAUUGUCAAUAAUUGUCAGCACGUCCCCCUUUGACACAUGGCAGCAUUUCUGAUCUUGAUUCCCCUCCCAGCGUAACAUUAAUAAUAUCAAUGUGCGUGAAUGUGUGAGGGGCUUUUAUUUUGUAGUAGCUUCCUCGUGUAGCAGGUGGCUCAGGGAUAAUCCAGGUAAAGCCACUGCAAAGUGGAGAUGGGGAGAUGAGCAAAGGAGGGGGGGGGGCCUUUGCAUGGAUGACUGGGGCUAAUUCUGGCCUCCUAAUCCCAGUCCCAUGCACCCUCCCCCUCUUCCUUCCUGGCUAAUUUCACGGCGACACCGACGACCAAUUGACGCCUAGGUAGACGUUACGAUCACAUGCACACGUAGCACUUGACCCGACCACGUUUACAGAGGAAGCCGAGGGAAAACACAAAGGCCAGGGCGCAUUUGGCGGAUCCCUAGAACUCAUGCAGGUCGGUGCGCGUGACCGGAGAAUGUAGCUGCAGCGUUUCCCAGCCAAGCCACAGGAAACAAGCCACCAUGGGAGAAGCUCAAAAGGUGAGUUCCUUGAUCUGGAAGAGCAGGACUCGAUAAAACAAAGGGGCUUGCUCUCUGUCAUUGAGAAGCUGAAGGGAUCCACGGAGCAGGAGGUCAGGAUAGUGCUGCUGGGGCUGGACAACGCCGGGAAGACCACGCUGCUGAAGAGCCUGGCCUCGGAGGACGUCAACACCAUCACGCCC